rnacentral:rRNA from 1 species
UAAUACAUGCAAGUCGAACGAACUCUGGUAUUGAUUGGUGCUUGCAUCAUGAUUUACAUUUGAGUGAGUGGCGAACUGGUGAGUAACACGUGGGAAACCUGCCCAGAAGCGGGGGAUAACACCUGGAAACAGAUGCUAAUACCGCAUAACAACUUGGACCGCAUGGUCCGAGCUUGAAAGAUGGCUUCGGCUAUCACUUUUGGAUGGUCCCGCGGCGUAUUAGCUAGAUGGUGGGGUAACGGCUCACCAUGGCAAUGAUACGUAGCCGACCUGAGAGGGUAAUCGGCCACAUUGGGACUGAGACACGGCCCAAACUCCUACGGGAGGCAGCAGUAGGGAAUCUUCCACAAUGGACGAAAGUCUGAUGGAGCAACGCCGCGUGAGUGAAGAAGGGUUUCGGCUCGUAAAACUCUGUUGUUAAAGAAGAACAUAUCUGAGAGUAACUGUUCAGGUAUUGACGGUAUUUAACCAGAAAGCCACGGCUAACUACGUGCCAGCAGCCGCGGUAAUACGUAGGUGGCAAGCGUUGUCCGGAUUUAUUGGGCGUAAAGCGAGCGCAGGCGGUUUUUUAAGUCUGAUGUGAAAGCCUUCGGCUCAACCGAAGAAGUGCAUCGGAAACUGGGAAACUUGAGUGCAGAAGAGGACAGUGGAACUCCAUGUGUAGCGGUGAAAUGCGUAGAUAUAUGGAAGAACACCAGUGGCGAAGGCGGCUGUCUGGUCUGUAACUGACGCUGAGGCUCGAAAGUAUGGGUAGCAAACAGGAUUAGAUACCCUGGUAGUCCAUACCGUAAACGAUGAAUGCUAAGUGUUGGAGGGUUUCCGCCCUUCAGUGCUGCAGCUAACGCAUUAAGCAUUCCGCCUGGGGAGUACGGCCGCAAGGCUGAAACUCAAAGGAAUUGACGGGGGCCCGCACAAGCGGUGGAGCAUGUGGUUUAAUUCGAAGCUACGCGAAGAACCUUACCAGGUCUUGACAUACUAUGCAAAUCUAAGAGAUUAGACGUUCCCUUCGGGGACAUGGAUACAGGUGGUGCAUGGUUGUCGUCAGCUCGUGUCGUGAGAUGUUGGGUUAAGUCCCGCAACGAGCGCAACCCUUAUUAUCAGUUGCCAGCAUUAAGUUGGGCACUCUGGUGAGACUGCCGGUGACAAACCGGAGGAAGGUGGGGAUGACGUCAAAUCAUCAUGCCCCUUAUGACCUGGGCUACACACGUGCUACAAUGGAUGGUACAACGAGUUGCGAACUCGCGAGAGUAAGCUAAUCUCUUAAAGCCAUUCUCAGUUCGGAUUGUAGGCUGCAACUCGCCUACAUGAAGUCGGAAUCGCUAGUAAUCGCGGAUCAGCAUGCCGCGGUGAAUACGUUCCCGGGCCUUGUACACACCGCCCGUCACACCAUGAGAGUUUGUAACACCCAAAGUCGGUGGGGUAACCUUUUAGGAACCAGCCGCCUAAG